rnacentral:rRNA from 1 species
AGAGUUUGAUUCUGGCUCAGGACGAACGCUGGCGGCGUGCUUAACACAUGCAAGUCGAACGAUGAAGCCUAGCUUGCUAGGUGGAUUAGUGGCGAACGGGUGAGUAAUACGUGAGUAACCUACCUUUAACUCUGGGAUAAGCCUGGGAAACUGGGUCUAAUACCGGAUACGACCAAUCUCCGCAUGGGGUGUUGGUGGAAAGCGUUAUGUAGUGGUUAUAGAUGGGCUCACGGCCUAUCAGCUUGUUGGUGAGGUAACGGCUCACCAAGGCGACGACGGGUAGCCGGCCUGAGAGGGUGACCGGCCACACUGGGACUGAGACACGGCCCAGACUCCUACGGGAGGCAGCAGUGGGGAAUAUUGCACAAUGGGCGCAAGCCUGAUGCAGCGACGCCGCGUGAGGGAUGACGGCCUUCGGGUUGUAAACCUCUGUUAGCAGGGAAGAAGAGAGAUUGACGGUACCUGCAGAGAAAGCGCCGGCUAACUACGUGCCAGCAGCCGCGGUAAUACGUAGGGCGCGAGCGUUGUCCGGAAUUAUUGGGCGUAAAGAGCUUGUAGGCGGUUUGUCGCGUCUGCUGUGAAAGGCCGGGGCUUAACCCCGUGUAUUGCAGUGGGUACGGGCAGACUAGAGUGCAGUAGGGGAGACUGGAAUUCCUGGUGUAGCGGUGGAAUGCGCAGAUAUCAGGAGGAACACCGAUGGCGAAGGCAGGUCUCUGGGCUGUAACUGACGCUGAGAAGCGAAAGCAUGGGGAGCGAACAGGAUUAGAUACCCUGGUAGUCCAUGCCGUAAACGUUGGGCACUAGGUGUGGGGGACAUUCCACGUUUUCCGCGCCGUAGCUAACGCAUUAAGUGCCCCGCCUGGGGAGUACGGCCGCAAGGCUAAAACUCAAAG